rnacentral:rRNA from 1 species
GGGUUGUGAGGUUAAGCGACUAAGCGUACACGGUGGAUGCCCUGGCAGUCAGAGGCGAUGAAGGACGUGCUAAUCUGCGAUAAGCGUCGGUAAGGUGAUAUGAACCGUUAUAACCGGCGAUUUCCGAAUGGGGAAACCCAGUGUGAUUCGUCACACUAUCAUUAACUGAAUCCAUAGGUUAAUGAGGCGAACCGGGGGAACUGAAACAUCUAAGUACCCCGAGGAAAAGAAAUCAACCGAGAUUCCCCCAGUAGCGGCGAGCGAACGGGGAGGAGCCCAGAGCCUGAAUCAGUGUGUGUGUUAGUGGAAGCGUCUGGAAAGGCGCGCGAUACAGGGUGACAGCCCCGUACACAAAAAUGCACAUGCUGUGAGCUCGAUGAGUAGGGCGGGACACGUGGUAUCCUGUCUGAAUAUGGGGGGACCAUCCUCCAAGGCUAAAUACUCCUGACUGACCGAUAGUGAACCAGUACCGUGAGGGAAAGGCGAAAAGAACCCCGGCGAGGGGAGUGAAAAAGAACCUGAAACCGUGUACGUACAAGCAGUGGGAGCCUCUUAAUGGGGUGACUGCGUACCUUUUGUAUAAUGGGUCAGCGACUUAUAUUCUGUAGCAAGGUUAACCGAAUAGGGGAGCCGAAGGGAAACCGAGUCUUAACUGGGCGUUAAGUUGCAGGGUAUAGACCCGAAACCCGGUGAUCUAGCCAUGGGCAGGUUGAAGGUUGGGUAACACUAACUGGAGGACCGAACCGACUAAUGUUGAAAAAUUAGCGGAUGACUUGUGGCUGGGGGUGAAAGGCCAAUCAAACCGGGAGAUAGCUGGUUCUCCCCGAAAGCUAUUUAGGUAGCGCCUCGUGAAUUCAUCUCCGGGGGUAGAGCACUGUUUCGGCAAGGGGGUCAUCCCGACUUACCAACCCGAUGCAAACUGCGAAUACCGGAGAAUGUUAUCACGGGAGACACACGGCGGGUGCUAACGUCCGUCGUGAAGAGGGAAACAACCCAGACCGCCAGCUAAGGUCCCAAAGUCAUGGUUAAGUGGGAAACGAUGUGGGAAGGCCCAGACAGCCAGGAUGUUGGCUUAGAAGCAGCCAUCAUUUAAAGAAAGCGUAAUAGCUCACUGGUCGAGUCGGCCUGCGCGGAAGAUGUAACGGGGCUAAACCAUGCACCGAAGCUGCGGCAGCGACACUAUGUGUUGUUGGGUAGGGGAGCGUUCUGUAAGCCUGUGAAGGUGGCCUGUGAGGGUUGCUGGAGGUAUCAGAAGUGCGAAUGCUGACAUAAGUAACGAUAAAGCGGGUGAAAAGCCCGCUCGCCGGAAGACCAAGGGUUCCUGUCCAACGUUAAUCGGGGCAGGGUGAGUCGACCCCUAAGGCGAGGCCGAAAGGCGUAGUCGAUGGGAAACAGGUUAAUAUUCCUGUACUUGGUGUUACUGCGAAGGGGGGACGGAGAAGGCUAUGUUGGCCGGGCGACGGUUGUCCCGGUUUAAGCGUGUAGGCUGGUUUUCCAGGCAAAUCCGGAAAACCAAGGCUGAGGCGUGAUGACGAGGCACUACGGUGCUGAAGUGACAAAUGCCCUGCUUCCAGGAAAAGCCUCUAAGCAUCAGGUAACAUCAAAUCGUACCCCAAACCGACACAGGUGGUCAGGUAGAGAAUACCAAGGCGCUUGAGAGAACUCGGGUGAAGGAACUAGGCAAAAUGGUGCCGUAACUUCGGGAGAAGGCACGCUGAUAUGUAGGUGAAGCGACUUGCUCGUGGAGCUGAAAUCAGUCGAAGAUACCAGCUGGCUGCAACUGUUUAUUAAAAACACAGCACUGUGCAAACACGAAAGUGGACGUAUACGGUGUGACGCCUGCCCGGUGCCGG